CUUUGAGAGUUUGUAGGUGGCUUUAUAAGUUCGCCGUCAAAUCCCUGGGCUCAACCCUGGGCAGACAGUGGAAACUACCAAGCUGGAGUACAGCAGGGGAAGCGGGAAUUUCCGGUGGAGCAGUGAAAUGAACAGAGAUUGGAAAGAACACCAACUAUGCUGGGUUGACACCGACACCGAGAGACGAAAGCUAGGGGAGCGAAUGGGAUUAGAUACCCCAGUAGUCCUAGCUGUAGAGGAUGGAUACUAGGUGCUGUGAGUAUCGACCCAUGCAGUGCUAUAGCUAACGCGUUAAAAAAAGUAUCCCG
rnacentral:ncRNA from 1 species